rnacentral:lncRNA from 1 species
CUUCACAUUCAACCUUAAUACACCCACCUAGGUACAUGCCAUUUAUUGAAAUGACAAAAUUAAUACUUUACCCCUUUCUCAGAUCCACUGAUGUGAUGAGAUGAGAUGCCUUUGAUAUUCAAAUAUCCCUUUUCUUUUACUCUUAACCUACGUGUAUAAAACAUGCGUUAAGCUAUUACUAGCUUAGUAAGUACAACUAGUAUUUAGAUCAUAAUCUAUGUUAUAAAUUAUAACUUAUUUAUUAUUUACUACACAAAAUCAUUUAAAUGACUUGUUUGUAUUCAUCAUACAUAAUUUACCAAUCAAUUCACUUAUUCUUACAAUUAGGUCCACAUUUUUAUUAUUUUCUCAUUAUACACCAACUAAACAUAUUAUUUAAUUAUCAUCUAUAUAAUACUAGAAUCACAUGAUUUAUUUUAAAUUUAUCGUUUACUCCAUUUAGCUAAAAUUUCAAAUAAUUUACUUUUUUUUAUUUCAACCAUAUAUUUUCUUGUGUUUCUCAAUUUCAUAAUUUUUCAGCACAUAUAAUCUAUAUAAUUCAAUAAUCACUAAAAUAGUUUUGUACCUUUUUCAGAGGCCCAGUAGACUUAAUAGAACACAAAGGAUAUACAGAAUAGAACAGAACACCAUCGAAGCAGAUAACAAAACACCACUGAAGCGGAUAAUAAAACACCGCCAAAGCGGAUAAAUAGAGAGCAUUGAUGUGCUAAUAAUCAGAGAGCACUAACAUGCUAAUAAUUAGAGAGCGAACUAAGGUUCCUUAAUGGCAUGCCACUAAUAUCCUAAUAGUUCUUAUCUCAUCUACUUAGGCAAGUCAUAACAUACACACGUCACUUUUACACUUUUUACCAUUUAAUCCUUAUAACAAUACUUUGUAUAAUUAUAUCUUCCUCUUUCAUUGACACAUGUAACUUGUCUCAAUAUUUAAUAAUCUUCCAUAAUUCCACUAAUAAUUCUUAUUAUACAUUUCACCUAUCACUUUUACUUACUUUACAAUUUAGACCUCAUCAUGACAUUUCAUGUAACAAUAUCUUUUUCUUUCAAUUUCGUAUAUAACAUAUUUCAUUUCUCUAUUUAAUUUCCAUAUUCCACCACAAUUUCUUAUCACAUUCACAUGUCAUUUUCAUUUUUUUUUAUUUCUAAGUUUUGUCCUUGAGGCAUCAAAUCCAGAAAUAGAAUGUUUUACCAAUUAAUAUAAUUUCCAUAAUUCAUCACUAAUCUUUAUUAGUUCUUUUUACAUGUUGUUUUUACGCUUUUAACAUACUAAUCCUUGUCUUUCAUUUUUCAUCAAACAUAUGUACAUUAUUUCACAUAUUUCUCUUCACAUUUAAUUACAUAAAUAUAUAGUUCCAUCAACUUUUACAUCCUCUACAAUUUAGUCUCUUUUUUUAUACACUUUAAAUCUUUUCUCGCAUUUCUUUCAAUUUCUUUAUCACAUAUUACUUAAUAAAUGCAAUCAAUUCAUUAUUUAUUAUAUUUAAUCAUUAUCAAGCCUUAUUCUUCACUUAUUCAACAUAUAAAUUUGUAAUUAAAUAUUAUAUUAAAAUUUUAUUCAUUCUAACAAUCAACUUCAUAAUGAAAACAAGUCAGAUUCUAGUUGAACUUACAACUUUAGGCUUGAAAUCAACUCUCUUCUCCUCUUUCUCCCUUUGUCCACUUCAUUGCUUUAUUUCUCUAUUUGUUUAUCAACUUCCUUC